UUUCUUGGACUCCAAACAGUUAUUGUUUUCACAACUGCAGCCAGCAGGGCAUUAGUGUUGGAGAUGGAGAAAGCAGAUCACUCCAGCAGUUCAUCAUGUGCUCACUUAAUGGCUCCCUUUCUACUGUCUCUCCCUUAACUCUCUCAACCAUAUGGAUUCGAGGACAAAGACAUUACGUUUAUGCUAAUGACAACAGCCAUGUGCAGACAAAGGACUGCAAAGGUGUACCUGUACCAUGAUAAAGAGACUGUGAAUACCAUAGCCUAAAUGUGAAAAUCCGGAUGCGGGGAGGGUGGGCAUGUGAGUAUGUUUAUGUGUCUGUGUUUGUUCCAUCAGAGGAGAAUGUGACAUUUGAAGGACGAGAGACUCUUUUCAUACUGGAAACUGGAAACGUAGAAGCCGUUUUCAUUUUAUUUUAUGCACUUCACAGGGAACAGAGAGGCAGAAAGACAGAGCGGCAAAUGGGAAGCUUGGAAGGGACACAGAGAGGGAAGUCAGAUAGCAAAAAGUGGAGAACACAAACAGACAGAACAUAAAGGUGGGUGAAGGGCAAACAAGAUGCAUUACAGUGUCCUGUUUAUUAAUCAGUAGCGCUGCUGUUACUCCCCAGAACUUGAGAUAAGUAUUAAGACAGGGUUUUAAGGUGGCACAUCACACCAAAAACUUCCCAGCAUCCCUUCUGCUAGCAAAUGUUGACGUAUCGUUCUGCUGACACAAGUCAGCUGAUUGCUGUGUCACGGCAAUGGUUUUAGGCAAGUGGCAGCGCUCCGGCUACAGACGUAGAGUCUUUUUUUCCUCCCAGACGCACUGCGGCACAGCCAGACGACUAGAGUGGAGGCACAGGAGCUCACAGCUGCAGUCUACUGGCUUGUUUCGGGGAGGCAGAGGAGCCGAGCACUUCCUCUCGAAAUACCGUCGCUCUGCUUAUUUUUGCCGUUGAGGGAUCAUUUUCAUUGGGGCAGAUAGUAGAGCCAAGAAAGAAGACAAACUCUGAGUCCAACAACUUGGAAUUAACGUUGGUCUCAUUUGUAGACAGGAAAUUUGGAGAAGCGAGCUGGAUCUUAAUUUUUUUAGGGGUUGCUGACGCCAUCGCUUGCGAGCACCAGACCAGGUUCCUAGGCUGAGAAGUUGGUGCUAAAAGCUUGGAUUCCAGUCCGUCACCUGUCCGUCCCGUCAUAAACCCGUCCCACACGAGACGUCCAGUCAGUCGGGCCCAUCUGCAUUUCCAUUUGCGCCGACCAUCCAAAGCAGCUCCUCUGCUUCAAGGUUAAGGUGGCUUUCGGUCCUAGACUUAGUCCUUGUCCAGAGGGCAGGGCAGAGGCGAACAGAAACAGCGAAGCAGCAGCUAAGCAGAGCUCAGCCAGACAGACGCGGUGACCUAAAUCAGCCCCAGUCAUGUCUGGACGCAGCCAGAGCAAGGCAGACGGAGAGGAAGACAGAGCGAGAGAGAGAGGGAGAGAGCGACCCAAACGUACCGACUUGAACAUAUACUCACACUACGUAAACGGCCGGAUAAAAGGCGGGCUGAAGUGAGUUGGUCAGACAGGCCUUGCCAAACCCACAGGCUGUUCUGCUGCUUUGCUACCGCUGUGGUGUUUUGAUGUGCGCUACUGUGCAGAUGCAGUUUUUGGGCGGUCACCAACAAGCUACUGUACAGGAGGAGACUCUGGGAAAGUAAGGGAUAUCUUUCAAGUAAGAAAAUCCUGCUCCAGUGUGCCACAAGUCAUUGGAGAAGACAGGGCUUUGGAAGGAGAAAGGAAACCUUUAUUUUUUCUGUCCACAGAGAAGUAUAUGAAGGCAUAAAUUCAUAAUGUCUCUCCAAGAAAUGUAUAUUCAAACCAAAAAUUAUUCAGACACCAGAUACCAUUUUUUGAUAUUGUUUUAUUUUUUUUACUAGUGGGUGCAGGAUACUUGUUUAUUUGUGUUAAGUGAGGAUAGCAAAAUAAAGAAAACUGUGACAUAUUAUACCUAAAAAUUCUUUAUACAGUGGACUACCCAACAAAUUUGGGACCAAAAAUUAUUAUCACUUUGACCUAACCAUGUUUUUCUUAAGUUUUUUCCUUUAAUUGCUAAUGUGACAUUUUAUACCAUAGACCCCCCUUCCUCAAAUCUUAGGGCCGUUUCAUAGUCUAAACAGUAAACGCAAGCGUCACGAGUGAUGCGUGUAUGCAAUACACCGCUCACGCA